AAUGUCGAAUUUCAUUGAGGACCAGUGACGCUUACAUGUGCGACAAACAAACAACUAUUGACGUCACUUCGGCGACGAAACUGGAACAACGAGAACAGGAUGGAAGUCGAAGUAGUUGUAUUCGUUAUGGUGCUUUAUUGUUGUGCAACUGCAAUUUUUACAUCCAUAUUGGAAAAGAGAUCGGCAUGCUUGGAAAAGGAGAUUGAAUACGCUGAGAUGGAAAGAUCUGAGAGGAGGAGAGGGCUCCUACAACGAAUUAGGGAGCUCGACUUGAGAUUGGCUCGGGUUAGGCAGUGGCACAACAGACGAAGAAGGAUUCUUCGAUACUAUCGUGCACGACGUAGUUCCACUGUGUCUGUUUGGCUUCGCAACAGAGCGAGACGAGUGGCGGCGGCAAACGCCACUUGAUGACCAACUUGCAAAAGGUUUCUGAAUACCGUAAGCCGUGACUGAAGCUGUAUUGCAUGUGGUGUCAACCUGACUCCGCAGAGGUAUGACCCUUUAUGUAAGUACCACUGUACAUCUCGGGAGGCCUUUAGCAGCAGAGCUUUGUUAAACAGUGGGGAGCUCUUUUGUUGUUACACACAACGCUGAAAAAGGCGUCGAGUAUGGUAGAGGGUUCCCUUAGUAGGCCUACCAGAGGCAUUUGAUGUCAGUUUUUUCAACUGUCAUGUUAACGUACUGACUGACAUUCUACCCUCUACCUAGUUCUCAGAUUAAUAGAGUAGGCCUACGAGACCACCAAGGGAAUGUUGUCACUUGCUGUAUUAGCUUGUGUGAUGAAACCAAUUCUAUGGAUGGUAGAGUUUAUUUCUACUGGUCAGCAUUGUGAAUACCAGGGACACCAGAUUACUCCGGUCACUGUGCCUUUAUAGGUUUAAUCUGUCAAUUGUUAUGUUCGCUUUGUCAGUGGUCAACAGAAUGAUGUCAGUGUUGAUAUGGUACAACCCAGAAUUAUAUGGCUUGGCAUUACCAGUGAUCAACAAUAAAUGCAAAUGCUGUAUACUGUAUUUGUUUCUUCUCAUGAUCCACAAUUGAACCAUUUACUAGAAGUAGCAAAAAAAUAUACAUAUAAAAAAUCUCAAAUGUCACAACACAAUACAAAAUCCAACACCCCUUAAAGUCUGUACCUAAUUCAAAACUAUGCAACUGCACACAAUGUACACUAUACAAACUAUACCACAGUCCUUUAACAACUGCUCCUCUAGUCCAGUGGUGGGGUCACAGGACUGUCUGUCUUGUCCAGCACCUGGACGAGCCGGUUGAGAACAUUCAGGAAGCCCUGCUGAAAAGCCUCCUGCUGUCGCCUGGAUUCGGCAGCUUCUUCCCGUCGGAGGGUGAACUCUCGCUCCCGCGCCUCGGCCUCCCGGGCAUCGUGUGCUAUGAGCAUCUGGUAGUGGCGUUCCCGUUGGUCAAGCUCUUGCCGCAGGAUGUCGAUGUGGGCUUCCUCCAUCUCUUGCAUCGUCUCCAGGAAGAUGGCGUCCCUUUUCUCCAUUUCCCUCACCACGUCCUGUAACUCGGAAUCCCUUUUCCUUUUUCCUGGGAAUAAAUUGAGGCACAUGA